GCUCAGGAUGAACGCUGGCGGCGUGCCUAAUACAUGCAAGUCGAGCGAACUGAUUAGAAGCUUGCUUCUAUGACGUUAGCGGCGGACGGGUGAGUAACACGUGGGCAACCUGCCUGUAAGACUGGGAUAACUCCGGGAAACCGGAGCUAAUACCGGAUAACAUUUUCUCUUGCAUAAGAGAAAAUUGAAAGAUGGUUUCGGCUAUCACUUACAGAUGGGCCCGCGGUGCAUUAGCUAGUUGGUGAGGUAACGGCUCACCAAGGCAACGAUGCAUAGCCGACCUGAGAGGGUGAUCGGCCACACUGGGACUGAGACACGGCCCAGACUCCUACGGGAGGCAGCAGUAGGGAAUCUUCCGCAAUGGACGAAAGUCUGACGGAGCAACGCCGCGUGAGUGAUGAAGGCUUUCGGGUCGUAAAACUCUGUUGUUAGGGAAGAACAAGUACAAGAGUAACUGCUUGUACCUUGACGGUACCUAACCAGAAAGCCACGGCUAACUACGUGCCAGCAGCCGCGGUAAUACGUAGGUGGCAAGCGUUAUCCGGAAUUAUUGGGCGUAAAGCGCGCGCAGGCGGUUUCUUAAGUCUGAUGUGAAAGCCCACGGCUCAACCGUGGAGGGUCAUUGGAAACUGGGGAACUUGAGUGCAGAAGAGAAAAGCGGAAUUCCACGUGUAGCGGUGAAAUGCGUAGAGAUGUGGAGGAACACCAGUGGCGAAGGCGGCUUUUUGGUCUGUAACUGACGCUGAGGCGCGAAAGCGUGGGGAGCAAACAGGAUUACAUACCCUGGUAGUCCACGCCGUAAACGAUGAGUGCUAAGUGUUAGAGGGUUUCCGCCCUUUAGUGCUGCAGCUAACGCAUUAAGCACUCCGCCUGGGGAGUACGGUCGCAAGACUGAAACUCAAAGGAAUUGACGGGGGCCCGCACAAGCGGUGGAGCAUGUGGUUUAAUUCGAAGCAACGCGAAGAACCUUACCAGGUCUUGACAUCCUCUGACAACUCUAGAGAUAGAGCGUUCCCCUUCGGGGGACAGAGUGACAGGUGGUGCAUGGUUGUCGUCAGCUCGUGUCGUGAGAUGUUGGGUUAAGUCCCGCAACGAGCGCAACCCUUGAUCUUAGUUGCCAGCAUUUAGUUGGGCACUCUAAGGUGACUGCCGGUGACAAACCGGAGGAAGGUGGGGAUGACGUCAAAUCAUCAUGCCCCUUAUGACCUGGGCUACACACGUGCUACAAUGGAUGGUACAAAGGGCUGCAAGACCGCGAGGUCAAGCCAAUCCCAUAAAACCAUUCUCAGUUCGGAUUGUAGGCUGCAACUCGCCUACAUGAAGCUGGAAUCGCUAGUAAUCGCGGAUCAGCAUGCCGCGGUGA
rnacentral:rRNA from 1 species